rnacentral:rRNA from 1 species
AUUGAACGCUGGCGGCAUGCCUUACACAUGCAAGUCGAACGGCAGCACGGGUGCUUGCACCUGGUGGCGAGUGGCGAACGGGUGAGUAAUACAUCGGAACAUGUCCUGUAGUGGGGGAUAGCCCGGCGAAAGCCGGAUUAAUACCGCAUACGAUCUACGGAUGAAAGCGGGGGACCUUCGGGCCUCGCGCUAUAGGGUUGGCCGAUAGCUGAUUAGCUAGUUGGUGGGGUAAAGGCCUACCAAGGCGACGAUCAGUAGCUGGUCUGAGAGGACGACCAGCCACACUGGGACUGAGACACGGCCCAGACUCCUACAGGAGGCAGCAGUGGGGAAUUUUGGACAAUGGGCGAAAGCCUGAUCCAGCAAUGCCGCGUGUGUGAAGAAGGCCUUCGGGUUGUAAAGCACUUUUGUCCGGAAAGAAAUCCUUGGCUCUAAUACAGACGGGGGAUGACGGUACCGGAAGAAUAAGCACCGGCUAACUACGUG